CGGGCCUCGUGGCCGUGGCUCAUGGCUGCCGACUCGAGCGCCGGUCGCGGCGGGCAGGCUCGGGCCUGGAGGAAGCGGUCUGCUGGCGUCGGGAAAGACGGGGGCGUUGCCGAGCCGCAACGGAUGGACCUUGGAAAUACGAGUGACCCAGGCGGCCUUCCGAAAUGAGGAAGCAGACACGGGGUGAAGACCGCGCGCCCCCUCAGACUCAGUGCUGAAGUUAAAGGGGCCCUUGUGGGCUUUCCGGAAGUCACGUGGAAGCCACAUUGAGUCGCUGGAGUAAAUGGUGUUCCGUGAUAACAUGCCCGACCACGGUAAGGUACAGUCUGAGGUGCUGGACCUGCUGUUGCUUGAGACCUAGAGCCAAGCCAGAUGCUGCUCCGAGCCCCACAGGUGGUGACUGGGCACCCUCCUCCAGACCCUCGCUCAUUACCUGGACACCGGCUGCUGGCAAGGACUGGAGCUCUGGCUAGAGCACCAUUUCCUGGGUGGUCUUUGUGUGAGGUUGUCAUGGGUUCUUAGUUUACAUUUUGAAGCCCAAAUAAAAAGGAUUUUAUUCACCGGA